rnacentral:rRNA from 1 species
AAAUUGAAGAGUUUGAUCAUGGCUCAGAUUGAACGCUGGCGGCAGGCCUAACACAUGCAAGUCGAACGGUAACAGGAAGCAGCUUGCUGCUUUGCUGACGAGUGGCGGACGGGUGAGUAAUGUCUGGGAAACUGCCUGAUGGAGGGGGAUAACUACUGGAAACGGUAGCUAAUACCGCAUAACGUCGCAAGACCAAAGAGGGGGACCUUCGGGCCUCUUGCCAUCGGAUGUGCCCAGAUGGGAUUAGCUUGUUGGUGGGGUAACGG